GACGAACGCUGGCGGCGUGCCUAAUACAUGCAAGUCGAACGCAGUGGGUACGGGUGAGUAAACCGUGGGUAACCUGCCCAUCAGCGUGGGUAACGCUUGGAAACAAGGGCUAAAACGAUACCUAUCGAUGCACCCGCGGUGCAUUAGCGAGUUGGGGGGGUAACGGCUCCCCAAGGCAACGAUGCAUAGCCGACCUGAGAGGGUGAUCGGCCACACUGGGACUGAGACACGGCCCAGACUCCUACGGGAGGCAGCAGUAGGGAAUCUUCGGCAAUGGACGAAAGUCUGACCGAGCAACGCCGCGUGAGUGAAGAAGGUUUUCGGAUCGUAAAACUCUGUUGUUAGAGAAGCGGUAUCUAACCAGAAAGCCACGGCUAACUACGUGCCAGCAGCCGCGGUAAUUC
rnacentral:rRNA from 1 species